AACGAACGCUGGCGGCAUGCCUAACACAUGCAAGUCGAACGAGACCUUCGGGUCUAGUUGCGCACGUGUGCGUACCGCGUGGGAACCUGCCCUUAGGUUCGGAAUAACUCCCCGAAAGGGGUGCUAAUACCGGAUAAUGUCUUCGGACCAAAGAUUUCUCGCCUUUGGAUGGGCCCGCGUUGGAUUAGCUAGUUGGUAGGGUAAAAGCCUACCAAGGAGACGAUCCAUAGCUGGUCUGAGAGGAUGAUCAGCCACACUGGGACUGAGACACGGCCCAGAAUCGUACGGGAGGCAGCAGUGGGGAAUAUUGGACAAGGGGCGAAAGCCUGAUCAAGCAAUGCGGCGUGAGUGAUGAAGGCGUUAGGGUUGUAAAGCUCUUUUACACGGGAUGAUAAUGACAGUACCGGGAGAAUAAGCACCGGCUAACUCCGUG
rnacentral:rRNA from 1 species